GGCCCAAGCCUCAUCUGGCUCUGCCCUCUCCCUUGGCCAAUCGCAACUCUGCUCCUUCCUGAGGGCGGGGACUCGCCGUCCACUUAGCGGGCCUGGUUACUGGGGCAACAGCGUCCCGGAGACGAGGCUCGCGCCCGCCCCCGGGCCCCGGCAGCCAAGUCCGCGCGAGGUGGAGGCCACCCAGCCGGGGCUUGCGGUGUUUUGUCACCCUGCUCUUUCGCGCCCCACGGAGAUGCAGAACCCCACGUUCUGCACUCGGUCUGGAGGAGAACUUGAGUGAGAGACCUGUCAGCCACACAAGUAGCAAAUCGCCAAGGCAGAACCGCCUCAUUCUGCCUCCAAGCAAAUCCUCUUCCUGGUCUCUCUAAGACCAGGUUGGCCUUGAACUCACAGAGAUGUACCUGCCUCCUCCUGAAAAUAUUUACUUGCCACAAGUCUGCCUCUUCAAAAGGACUCUUAAGCCACUCCUGGGAAAAGCACCCGUUUUUCUUCAAUUGCAUCUGUGUCCUUGAAGGAGUAGACUUAAGAGAAAUGUGGUAAAUAAAUCCUGUGCUUUACACAGCACAUUUCAUCUUGUUCUUUAAUCCAUUGCCUUCAAUUCAAUAAACAUUUCUUUAGCUGAA